UCAGCCUCACUGCAUUGAAUCAUCUGCUGCAUCUGUCACCAUGAGGACCCUGGCUGCUCUUCUGGCUCUGGUGCUGGUCAUCUCAGUUAGUGCUCAGUAUGGACAGACUACACACGAUUGCUGUGCCAAAUACUACUCUAAUACGAUUCCUGCAAACAUGGUGGUGUCUUACUACAAGACUAGCAACAACUGCUACCUGAAAGCUCUUGUGAUUAAAACAAAGAUGGGCAAGGUACGCUGUGUGGACCCUGAGGUGAAGUGGGUAAACAAGAUUAUCAGCAAGCAAGCUGCAACCACGGUGAUGCCUACCUCAUCCUCAACUGUGAAUCAAACGUCAACUUUCAAUCAAACAUCACCAAGUCCUACUGGGGCACACAAAAAGCUUAUGCUUUUUAGAUUAAAGUAAUUUAUCCCACUGAUCAAGUCUAUGAAAAAGCUACAUCAAUGCAUAUCACUUUUAAUAUGUCAAUAAUUUGUUUAAUAAUAAAAUAACUAUGUAUAAAGAAGUCACAUUUGCUUGUCUGUUUCAGUUGUUUUCAGUCCUUCAUUACAUCCCUGAUAGCAAUUUGCAAAUAACGGACCACCGGUGGGUUUUCACCAUUGUGUGCCACUUCUGCUGUCAGACCCAUCUUCAGUUUAACAUGUUGUAAGCAAAUGUUACUAAAAUGACGGUAAAAAUAUAACUGAAUAAAUAAAAACACAUUUGAGCCGUAAGUGGCAAAACAGUUUGACAGUAACCCGCCAGUGGACCCCUGGAAAAGCUAACAAGCAAAACACUAGCGGGCCAACAACGGUCCACCACCCACUGUACUGCAGUCAUAUCAUCUUCACUGGGAAUUUAUACCGCAAGUCUGAAACAUAAAUGAUGUGCGCUGCCUCCUUCUCUAAUAUGACACAAUUCGUUUCAUCCAUGUUAUUACUAUUUGUAAACGUAUACACUGUACACUUAUAUAAAGAAGUGAACCAUGCAAAUACAAUGUCAUGAACUUUUGAUGGCUGUGAGAAUAACAAACAGAAAACAAAAUGAUUAAAAAUGCUUGAAUAAAAUAGAUACAUAACAUAGAUACACCAGGACUCGAAA